CUAGAAUACUAUCUGAAAGCACACGCCCUAUUUUAGAAAAUAUGCCAGAAUUUCUUUCUCUCAGCCCUUCCUUUGAAGGGAGGAGGACUACCAGUUGCUGUAAUUCACCUAAUGCAUUGACUUGUUAUCCAAGGCAAUUACAAUUAAAUGGUCUUCUGCUUUACUAUCUUUCAGCUGUUUCAUGCUCCACAACUCUAUGCAGACUGGCUUUUAUCUUCUCCAAGAGCUGAGAGUCCAAAAGGUGCUGUCUGUGCCUGCUCAGAGGAGCCCAGCUGUAUACCAUUACCUGCAACAAUGUGUAAUGCAGUUCCGGGGGGGGGGGGGGGGGGGCGGUGUUUGAGACAGUUUGCUCAGUGUUUAUGGCUGCUAUAAAGUCUAUUCUCUGGCUGAUUACUGGAGAGGGAAGUCCUGGUAAAGCAGCACAGAUCACAGGUGUUGAUUCAAGGACCAGUGGAGGCAAUCCAAUUUCUUGUGUUUGAACAGGAUGUGCACAGGACAUGGACUGUAAAACAUUGUCAACAGCAAGUGAAUUAUAAGUUACUGCAUAUAGUAAUAUGUACCUGAUAGAAAAGUAGAUAAAUUUUCUGGAAUGUUUUCAGUAUUUUACAGUGUUAAAGUAUAUUCUAACUGUGCAAAGAUAUGAAAAAGAUAGAGGCAUAGUACCUAAUCUGUGUUUGGGAAGCUGACUUGUGCUAAGCAGUGUUUCUCAUGAAGGUUUAUGAUGUGGAUAGCCAUGGGGAGCUAUUGCCACUGCUGGCCAGACUGACGAGGAGAGCAGCAUAUCCCAUUACCAGGAGCAUAUGGAUUUCUUAGUUUCUUUAUUUCACUUUUUUAGAUAAAGACAGGUGACCAUCAAUGUAAACAGUUCCUGUAUUACUGUAUUUUCUAAAAUUUUAGGGUUCAAGCAUCUCUUUCACUAUAUACCUACAGCCAAUCCAAAGUGAAGAGAUAAUUCCCUUCUUCCUGUGAUAUAAUGCUCUCCCACUAAGCUUUGGUCUUGUUUCUCCUCUGAUUGCCUCUUUCACAUUAUUUUAGCUGUUGAGCUUUCUGCAGAAGGGAGUCUAUUUCCUAGAAAACAGGUAGCUAUGCAGGAGGACAAAGAAAAUGAAGUACUGCCUGCUGUGGAGGACUGUGUGAAGAACAGAAAGGUUACCGAUCUGAUUCCUGUGAUCCAAGAAAGCUUCGCAAAAGGGUGUGCAGUUUUCACAAUCUAAAUCCAUACUGAAGCUUUUGUAAAGCCUGACAAACAACUUGAUGAUGGUGCAAAAGCAUGUGGCUGAGAGAUGCACUGCCAGAUGGUGUGCCUGUACCAGUAGGUUUGUGAGAUGUGUUUCGUGGGAAUGCUUAAGAAGACACAGCCAAGGAGCCUCUUUACUGAAGUUGAACUGGCUGUUCCUGAUCAAGUGUUGUUCUGCUGAGCCCCAAGCCUGGUCUGCACUGGUGGAACUUGGCAGUCUCUAUUGCUUACAAGUUGAUGUUUUUUAUCAUGUCCUCACCUCCUCCCACUGUGCUUGCAGCAAUACUAGAGAGGGAAAGAGCAGUUUCAGAAUGACUGGCCUUUGAACAGCU